rnacentral:tRNA from 1 species
UAGAAGGUAGUAUAAGUGGUAGUACAUGAAGUUUUGGACUUUAUAGUGUAGGUUCGUGGCCUAUUCUUCUA